rnacentral:rRNA from 1 species
CCCUUAGAUGUUCUGGGCUGCACGCGUGCUACAAUGGCGCUUGCAACAAGUCUUGCCAACCCGAUAGGGUGAGCGGAUCUUUGAAGAGGCGUCGUGAUCGGGACAGUUGAUUGCAAUUAUUCGACUCGAACGAGGAAUUCCUUGUAAUCGCGAUUCAUCAUAUCGCGCUGAAUACGUCCCUGCCCUUUGUACACACCGCCCGUCGCUCCUACCGAUUGAGCGAUCCGGUGAAUGUUUUGGACUGGCGUCAGAAGCGGUUCGCUCCUGACACUACGAAAUUUUGUAAACCUUAUCGCUUAGAGGAAGGAAAAGACGUAACA